CAGGACAGGAGCAGUAUUUAUACAUUCCACACAGCUUAUCUAAUUAGCAUAAACUAGAUACAUCAGUCAACCAAUAAGGAAUCUCCACACUUAAUGGCUUGUUUUUGUUACUUCUCAAACCACUCCCUCUGGCAUUUUGCCAGGCACCAUCCAGACUUGUUUACGAACUUUAACAUUCCCCUGGCAAAAUGCCAGGUGUUAUUUUGACUUGUUUACAGACUCUAACACUCCUCCUUUCCCACGAUAUAACUUUAAUAACUAGGAAGGCCAGGACCUUUUAACUACUAACUUUGGUUCAAAUACAAAGAAAAAUGAUUAUCGAGAUUGAUCUUUUGAUAUACCAGGGAUGAGAGAAGCCAUGCAGAUUAGGAGGAAAGGGUAGUGAUGGCCAACCUUAUCUAUAGUUCAUAUAUUUAAAAUUCAGAACUGUGGACAUCCUGAAUCGAAAAGUUUUUGGCCACUCAAAAUCAAAAUCAGCUUCUCAAAAAGAGACAAGACACUCUGCUCAUAGAAUGGAACCACCAUAAUCUGUCAGUGAAUUUCUCAGCACAAACGUUGCAGGCUAGGAGAGAGUGGGAUGAUGUAUUCGAUGUCCUGAAAGAAAAAAAAAAAUUCUGCAAGCCAAGAAUACCAUGUUUAACAAGAUUGCCCUUCACAAAUGGAGGCAAGAUAAUGAUAUUCCCAGAUAAACAAAAGGUAAGGAAGUUCAUCACCAGUAAACCUGCCUUACAAGAAAUGUUAGAGUGAGUUCUUAAAGUGGAAGUGAAAGGAUUCUAUUUAGUCAUGUGAAAAUAUAUGUAAGUAUAAAAUUCUGGUAAAUAUAUAAUGCAUUUCAGAAUAUUUAAUUCUAUAUUGGUAGUAUAUAAAUCACUUUUGUAUAAAGAUUAAAAUACAAGUAUUGUAAAUACUUAUAGCUAUAAUAAUUUGUUAAUGGAUAGAAAAUACAUCAAAGAUCUGAGUUGUGACUUUAACGCAUCAAAUAUGGGGUGGCUAAAAGUGUAUGAUUUUUGUAUGUUCUGAAACUUAGCGGGAUAAAAGCUAUUAUAGGGCAAUAACCACAGCAAAAAUGUACAGUAGAUCCACAAAGAUAAAGAAAAAAGAAUGAAAACAUAACCACCGAAGAAAAACAUCAACUCACAAAGGAAGAUAGUCAUGUUCUUCAUGUGUCCAUUAAAAAAGGUGGAUCAUAGCUACCAAGAUGACUCCCUGGUUUUGGUAGUGGUACCCAUGUCGGGUGGGCGGAUCCUCAUCAUGGUUGACUAUGAUAAGUAAGAGUGAAGAGCAAGGAAGGAAGAAAGGAGAAAGAAGGAACAAAGAAACUACAAAACAGUCCUCAAACAAAAACAAAGUGGUAAGUAGCAAGUUCUGACCUUUCUGUCCUUAAUUGCUUUGAAUGUGAAUAGGUGAAAUUCUAUAAUGCAAAGACUAGGAUGGCUGAACAAACAUUAAAUAGAGAAAAAGAAAAGAUUCAAUAUAUGCUUCCUACAAGACACAUACUUCAGUCUUAAAUAAAAACAUAAGCGAAAAGGGAGGGUAUGUGAAAAGACUCCAGACAAAUUAGAAACCAAAAGAUAAUAGGGAUAGAUAUGUUUAGACUAAGUAAAAUGUAAAUAAAAAAUUAACAAAAAAAGAAGGUAGUAAGGAAUGGAAAAGGGGUCAGGUAAUAAGAGGGUAUAAUAAUUGUAGUUAUAUAUGCAACCAGCAGUGGAGCAUCUAAAUAUAUUAAGCAAAUAUUAACAGAUCUGAAGUUAGUAAUAUCAGUAUUAUGAAAAGGGCCAAACACCAUGAUCAAGCGGUAUUUAUUUUGGGGAAUGAAAGGAUGGUUUAAUAUAUGCACAUAAGUGUGAUAUUCCACAUGUCUAGAAUGAAUGAUGAAAACCAUACAAUCAUCUUAAUGGGUGAAGAAAACAUAUUUGACAUAAACCUUUUCAGGACAAAACUCUGAUGAUGUGUGUGUGUAUAAAUAAAUGCAUGCACACAGACAAUACAAUAUUAUUCAGCCAUAAGAGAGAAGGAAAUCCUGCCAUUUUUAACAACAUAGAUGAGCACGGAGGGCAUUAUUGCUAAUGAAAAAAGCUAGACAGAGAAAGGAAAAAUGGUGUAUGGUAUCACUCUCAUGUGAAAUUUAAAGUAACAACUGCAAUACACUCAGAAUAGAAUGGUAAUUGCCAAAGGUUGAGGAAAAUGUUGAGAUGUUGGUCAAAGGUUACAUACUUUAGUAAUAAGAUAAACACAUUUAAAGUUCUAAUGUACACCAUGGUGAUUGUAUUUAAUAGUGCUGUAUUUCAUGCUUGGGAUUAAUUUUCUAUAAGGAUAGAUUAAGCAUUCUUAACAAAAAAGAAAAAGUUAACUCUGUGAGGUGAUGGAUGUGGUAAUUAGCUAAUUAACUUGAUUACGCUAAUGACUUCAUAACAUUUAUGUGUAUCAAAUCAUCACAUUGUGCACUUUAAAUAUAUACAAUUCUAUUUGUCAAUUAUAACUCAAUAAAGCCGGAGAUUAAAAAAAAAAAGAAGAACAGUAGCUUCUAUUUUCUUUUUUCUAUGUGCAAAAGGCAUUCCUGUUCUUUGUUCCUUAAGAAUUGAGGGGCUAUUGGAUUAUAGGAUGAGAGAUAUAGAUAUAAGUAAGAGAUAUAUAGGUGACUUAGCCACAACACAAUUUGGUCAAUUCUCCAUGGAAGUUUUGCCCCCCACAAAAAAGUGCAGAUGGAUCUCUGGGUCAGUGGCCUGUGAAAAUAUCGGAUUUUUUUCCUUCAUUUUUCUAAAAUAUCAAGGAAAUGAGAGACAGGUUUCUUUAUCAUGUGCCCAGUUCUCCAAUGGAAGAAGACAGAGGUGCCAUUACCCUAGAAGAUACUCCAUAUCAAGUCAUGCUAUGGCCUAUAAGCCUUCCACAAAAGCUGUUGGUCACUCCCAGAAUUCCAUGUCAGUCAAAUACAGAGGGUUGCACAUUUUGAAACCUUAUUCAGUAAAGCAUUCAAGCACUGAAGAGGGGGUAGAAUGAUUGACAUAGACCGGGGCUGCUGGAAUAGGUAGGUUCCAAAUAAGAACAGAACCAUGAAUUACAACCAGGGCAGGUGGUCAGCACAAGGCAGAAACUGAUUCAAACAGGAAGACAAGCCAAAAAGACAAAAAUUUCAAAGGCAGACUAAAGUAGGUCAUAAGGUCAAAAAGCAAAUGACUGUCAGAAGUCACAAGGGCAGGGCCAAGGUAGCAGGGUGAGCCAAGAAUAAGCCAUCUCCUUCAAUCAGAGGGAAACCCUUGCUACAUUCCAAAAGUGUUUGUUUACUUCAUAAGGCAGAGGUACCUGUUUGGCUCUUGGGGUUUAUAUGGGCCUUAUGGGUGGUGUUAUAAUUAAAUAGCAGAGUAGUACUUUAACACUCUGCUAAUUCUCAGGUUAUAUUUGUAAACAAGCCAGGGAAGCUUGAAGUGAUGUUUCACAUUAGCAGUAUACAUUUUGGUACACUAGAGAUCAUUUUAAGAAUAAUUUUGAUUUAUACUUGCGCACUCACCUCAUUUAUUUUAUAAGUCUAGACUUUAAAGGAGGAUCCUCCUCAAAUAUUUAGGAAGAACAACUUAUCACUUGUUCAACACCCCCUUUAAAAGUCUAGAAGCCUUCCUUUUGGGACUUAGACUGUUGUCUCUGUGAUAUGGCCCCUCCUUUCCCACCUGCUCAGGAAAUGUGAGCUGUGAAUUGCAGCUGAUUUGGAAUUUAAAGAGACUGCAACUCAAGUGUGACAGCAACUGCGCUAUUUGUUCACCAGACUGUUAAGCCUGUCAUUUCCCAAGGCGACCUUAGAGCAAACUCUUAUUUAAUUGUUUAAGCACGAGAAGCAAAAAUGUCUAGGUACCCUGCUUCUCUAAAUUUUUUUUUCCUAUUGGGGCUUUUUUUCUCUACUAGUUAGCAUUUAAAUCAAAGAAAUAUAAACUAGGUGAGAUGACCUCUUGAAGACUGAAGAUCACAAUAAAAUUGUAAUAUGCAAGAUCUCAAGGGGAUGAUUCAGGAAAAAUGUGGCAUAAAAGAAAUGUUCUUCCACACUUUUCUACAAAUAAUUUUAAACUUUAUUUAUUUAUUUAUUCAUCUAUUUUGGGUUUAAAUGGCCACAUGGCUAAAGUAACAAAAUCAGAUGAGUAGGCCCUAUUUCUUUGGCUCACUCCUUGAUCCUUUUAAAGCUAUAGGUACAAGACUGGCAAUUAGUUCCUGAGUGGCAUGAACAGUGCCAUUUUGCUUAUUUUCAACAAGUAUUAUCUGUCAUCCUUCAUUAGAUUGACCCAGAAACUGUGGGAAACCAUGACCCAAUAUUUAAGGGGAAUCAAGAUUAUAAUCACCAGUGUUGAACAUGAUUUUAUCAUUGGUGCUCCUCAUCAGUUGGUAUGUUUUCAGUUCCCUGGGGAGAGGUUACAGAAUUCCCAAGAAGAUCUUCUAUGAGCAAUUGGAAGGAAUUUUUCUCAAUAUCUCUAGUAUGUUUUGCUUUGCGGAACAUGGCUGCAUUUGAGAGGAAGGUGUGUUUGACUUUUCUCAAGGCUGUGCUUUAUUGUUCUUAACUCCAAUGGUAUUUAAAGGUGAAAGGAUACAAAUUAAAUCACAUGCAUAUUCUGUAAGACCAUAGACGAUAGGCAGGUAAGGUUCAGGGGUAGGCUGAAUGUCGGCAGAUUUCCAUCUCCAGCUCAGUGUUAAAAUAUUGCAGCGAGAGUACGAAGAGGAAAAACUGGUAUUAUUUCUAUUUUAUCUGUAAAGCUCACUCUGGGCUCAGGCCAAUAAAAUGUUUGGCCAAUAAAAUAUUAACUCAUAUUCAUGCAAAAGCUUCAAAAAUCACUUGCAUGAUAUGUUCACCUUUUCUUGGAAAUUUGCUACCAUCAGUGUGAGUAUAGGUUAACAUGCCUAAACCUUGGCAUGGGAAGAUAGUAAAGGUGUUUUAUUCAAUUAGCUGACAUCCUGACAACUUCUAAAUAGGAGGGAGCCUAACCAAGACAGGCAGAAACAUUUAACAACCUUGUAUGUGUAGCAGAGUAGCUGAGGGCAGACACAAAAUGAGCCUACCUGAGCCCAGCUUAGAUCAGUGUAAUUGCUCAAUCACCCUAUAAACUCAUAAAAUGUAAGAAAUGUUGACUGUUGUAUAACAAUGAUAUUUUAUGUUGUUGAUCACACAGCAUUAAUGUGGCAAUAGAUACCUGACACACCAGCCCAAUGAACAUGAUCAGUGAGUGUUAGCUAUAUACAUCUCAUCUCAUUGAAUCUAACGUGCUUUGAUAAUGGUAUCUCCUUGCUUUUUCUAGAAGCUAUCUAUAGAAAGCUUCUUUACAAUGGCAUAAUAAUCACCAUAUGGCAGGCAGUGACUUUUAUAUUCCAUGAAUUCAAAGAUGCAUCUUUAAUUCAAAUAUGCUAUAGUGCUAAAUUUCUGCUUAUUGUGGAAAAUUUUGUUAAAAAUCUUUAGGAUACCAGUGACCUGUGAGUGCAACUGGGUGCAGCUCCUUGGGACUUGAGUGGCUGUAGAUGCAAAGAUUGCAGCUUGGUAUAUUAUGGCAUCAGAGUCUCAGUCAGGCUCACUGAGGUCAGAGGCACCUGUAACUGGCCAGUGGACCUCUCCAUUGAAGCAGAUCAGUGCUAUUCUUAUUUUCCUUAGUGACAGGAGCAGUGUGGGACUCUCAUGAGAGUUUCCAGUUUGCCUAAACACCACAAUGGCAAAGCCUUCACAAAUAAGGCUUUCUUCCACAUUUACAGUUUGAGGGGUAAACUAUGCCCCCCAGGAUCUCUUAAUGCUAAACUGGGGUAGUGUUUAAUUGUGCUGCAUAUAAGUGAUAUGAGACAGCCAAGAAGAGUUUAAAUACAACAAUUAUGGCAAUAGUCAGGGAGACUUUAAAUACUACAAUUAAAAUUACUUGUUGUGUGUUUUGCAUGUUAUGUUUUGUCGGGGUCUGUAUACCAGACACAGAUUAAUAUUUUAUUCCCUAUAUCAAUAUUUUAUAGUUUUUAGUAGAAUGAGGUAAACGAGGUUAGUAUUUUGUGUUUAAAUUUUAAAUGGAAGUUUACAGACAUUGCAAGAAAAUUAAUACUGUUAUUUCAUUGUUAUUGGACCAAAAAAAGGAGAACACAGGUUGAGGCAAUACUUGGCUCCAAAUAACUUUCACCUGCAAUUUUUCUUUCUUUCGUAGAAAUCGUACUCGUCUUUAAACAGAAGUAAAUAAAGCAAGGUUCUCUAAGCACCUUUCAUAUCCUCUGAGGGCCACUACAAUGAGGAGUCACCAAAGUAUUACAGAAUUGAUGGCACAACACAGGGAUCAUGCUUGUGCCUUCCAUGGUGAAAGCCCUAAAGGGAGAAAUUAUUGGUUCAGAGGAAUCAGCCUGCUCUAGCUGAAUGAUGAGCUCAUUCGGAAUCUUCUUUCUACCAAGGGAUGCCCAUGACUAGGAAAAUGUCUUUGCUUUGUUAAAAAGGCCUCAGCCAAAGCUACCGAAUGACCUUCCAUCUUAAAUCCAGCUUUGGUUUCCUACCAAGUGAACCCUUCAUGGUUCACUGGGAGGUCAGUGGUACUGACCAGGUAGUUUGGAGAGAGCAUGAGUUUGGGAGUCACAAAAACCUUAACCCAAGUUCUGGCCUUUCCUGUGAAAUGCCAACCUGAUUUUGCUAGGCUCUUUACUCUGAAUGUCAAUUUCAUCCUUAAGUAAAGGGUGGUUAAUUUUCACCUUAAGUAAAGGGUGGUUAAUUUUCACCUUGUAAGAUAUGAUGAAAAUUAGGAAAAAUGAGAUACAGCAAACAACUACAUAAAGAGGUCAGUUUCAAUUUCCACCUUUCCCUUCCAUUUUAUUAUUUUUAUUUUGGGAGGUACCAGGGAUUGAACUCGAGGACAAUCAACCCCUGAGCCACAUCCCCAGCCCUUUUCUAUAUUUUAUUAUAGACAGGGUCUCACUGAGUUGCUUAGUGCCUCACUUUUGCUGAGGCUGGCUUUGAACUAGCGAUCCUCCUAUUUCAGCCUCCCGAACUACUGGGAUUUCAUGUGUGCACCACCAUGCCUAGCUAUUUUAUUAUCUUGCUAUUUUCCAGUCUUGAAUGCCUCUCUUUGGAACUGGGUAUUGCUAGUACAUUUGCCUAAAUGUUCAGGUUUGCCCGCUACUAAAUGAUAGAAGUCUAUUCUCCUCUCCCUUGAUGGAGCAUUCCCCCUUCCAGUGGACUUCUCUGAAGUGACCACCAGCAAAGAGCACAAGUAUACACCUCUGCUGUUCACACUACUCUUCCUGAUUUCUCUGUCUCUGUCAAUGCUAAUGCCAUUCAAUGGUCAUUCUGUGCUCUCUUUCCUUUCCCAGGAGAGUCACAGUACCACUGCUUACCCCUCUUCAGCGCCAGACUCCGAAGCAACCAGGUUGGGAAGAAUGUGGAUGGAUCAGUGCAGCUCAUCACCAUGGAACCUCAUUUAAAGAGAAUUUGGUAUGAGAGGUGGUCAUCUGCACCAUCUUCAUAUAAUAAAUGAGGGACAAAUGCAUCAAGG
rnacentral:lncRNA from 1 species